rnacentral:lncRNA from 10 species
AGAAGCUGCCCGGAGAUUCCCACUGUAUGGCUUCCUGCAGGAUUCAGCUGUGGAGACUGAAGCCGGAGGGCCUGGGGGGAGCCGCAGGAAGCGGGUGGGCGGGGGCCGUCUGCCCCUGGACACUCAGGACAGCCUGGCUCACCACGGGGGAGGAGAAGCCAAUGGAGACAGCGGGGACCAAGAGGGAGGGGGUGGAUGGGGAGCCUGGGGAGGAGCGGAGGGACCCAGGUCCCCUGCCUUACAGGACGACCAGCACAGGUUCCAGGUCUCCAGCCAGCUACAGGGCUUCUUAACACACAGCACUCCCUGCUUCGAGCCUUCCGGGAGGCCCCCAAUCCAGGAUCAAGACCCAGCCCCGUCACGGCCUGGCUCACGAGGCCCCACUUCAACUGCCCCUGACCUCUCUGCGCCCCCUGCUCCCGCCAGCCCUGCCGGCCGCUGCCCUGGAGAAGGAGCUGCAGAUGGAUCCCCAGUGAGUAGGAGGCAGCCGUGUGAGUCAGGCAGCGGAGGGAACGGGCUGCAUCGCGGAGAGGAGGUGCGAAGCAGCGCGCCGUUUCCGGGCUCUGGAAGCCGAGCUGCCGAGGCGUAAGCUGGGAGGUGGACAUGACGGGGGAGUGGGGAAGGGCAGGCGGCGGGACGGCCACACAGCGGAAUAUUAUGCAACUUAUAAAAAAUUUAAUUACCUGCCUACCAAUAGACUUAAAGGGAUUUCUAUAAGGUAUUAUUGGGUGAGAAAAGCAAUUUGGAGAUAAGAAUGUAACAUACGAUCCCAUUUUUAUAAAACAAUGGGCAAAAAAA